rnacentral:rRNA from 1 species
AUUAGAUACCCGGGUAGUCCUAGCUGUAACAUUGCCCAUUGAUGGUGCUUUCCCGUUGAGGGAAGGCAGUGUCGGAGCGAAGGUGUUAAAUGGGCCGCUUGGGAAGUAUGGUCGCAAGACUGAAACUUAAAGGAAUUUGGCGGGGGAGCACCGCAACGGGAGGAAUGUGCGGUUUAAUUGGAUUCAACGCCGGAAAACUCACCGGGAAUGACCUGUGCAUGAGAGUCAACUUGACGAGCUUACUCGAUAGCAGGAGAGGUGGUGCAUGGCCGUCGUCAGCUCGUACCGUAGGGCGUUCACUUAAGUGUGAUAACGAGCGAGACCCACAUCUUUAAUUGCAAAUGUAUAUGGGAAUAUGCAUGCACUUUAGAGAAACCGCCAGCGCUAAGCUGGAGGAAGGAGUGGUCGACGGCAGGUCAGUACGCCCCGAAUUUCCCGGGCUACACGCGCAUUACAAAGAACGGGACAAUACGUUGCAACCUCGAAAGAGGGAGCCAAUCGC